AAAUUGAAGAGUUUGAUCAUGGCUCAGAUUGAACGCUGGCGGCAGGCCUAACACAUGCAAGUCGAGCGGAAACGACA
rnacentral:rRNA from 1 species